AUUGAACGCUGGCGGCAUGCCUAACACAUGCAAGUCGAACGAGUGGCGGACGGGUGAGUAAUGUCUGGGAAACUGCCUGAUGGAGGGGGAUAACUACUGGAAACGGUAGCUAAUACCGCAUACCAUCGGAUGUGCCCAGAUGGUAUUAGCUAGUAGGUGGGGUAAAGGCUCACCUAGGCGACGAUCCCUAGCUGGUCUGAGAGGAGGACCAGCCACACGGGAACUGAGACACGGUCAAGACUCCGACGGGAGGGAGCAGUGGGGAAUAUGGCACAAUGGGCGCAAGCCUGAUGCAGCAAUGCCGCGUGUAUGAAGAAGGCCUUCGGGUUGUAAAGUACUUUCAGCGGGGAGGCGUUACCCGCAGAAGAAGCACCGGCUAACUCCGUGCCAGCAGCCGCGGUAAUAC
rnacentral:rRNA from 1 species